rnacentral:rRNA from 1 species
GAUGAACGCUGGCGGCGUGCCUAAUACAUGCAAGUCGAGCGAACAGACGAGGAGCUUGCUCCUCUGACGUUAGCGGCGGACGGGUGAGUAACACGUGGAUAACCUACCUAUAAGACUGGGAUAACUUCGGGAAACCGGAGCUAAUACCGGAUAAUAUAUUGAACCGCAUGGUUCAAUAGUGAAAGACGGUUUUGCUGUCACUUAUAGAUGGAUCCGCGCCGCAUUAGCUAGUUGGUAAGGUAACGGCUUACCAAGGCGACGAUGCGUAGCCGACCUGAGAGGGUGAUCGGCCACACUGGAACUGAGACACGGUCCAGACUCCUACGGGAGGCAGCAGUAGGGAAUCUUCCGCAAUGGGCGAAAGCCUGACGGAGCAACGCCGCGUGAGUGAUGAAGGUCUUCGGAUCGUAAAACUCUGUUAUUAGGGAAUAACAAAUGUGUAAGUAACUAUGCACGUCUUGACGGUACCUAAUCAGAAAGCCACGGCUAACUACGUG